rfam:Scleropages formosus scaffold3011, whole genome shotgun sequence.
GUUGGCUAUGGUGACAUGGUCCCCACCACCAUUGGAGGCAAAAUUGUGGGCUCACUUUGUGCCAUUGCUGGUGUACUUACCAUUGCUCUGCCAGUGCCUGUCAUCGUCUCCAAC